UGCCCAUCGGAUAAUUACCGCACCAUUUUUGUUCUCUAACUAAAACAGCCCGUACAGGUCUCUUCUCAUCUACCCCUAAAAAAGGUCUCUUCUAAUCUGGUUCGAUACCCACCAGCUCUUAAUCUCGUUCGAUCCCCACCAGACCCCUCGUCCACAUGCGCCAUUUCUCCUGAUUUGCUGCAGGCGAAGAAGAUGUCGCUUGUGCCAUCAGGAAACUAAUCGCAAGGGAGAAGACGACGUGGUGCUCAACCUAAUCAUGGUCGGCGGGUAGCGGCCAUAGCUGAUGUGCUGGAUGCUGGCGGGUCGGAGGAUGCAGUGAUGGAGCUCACGGUGAAGGGCGCACCGAUUCGUGGGUUUGCUGGGCGAACUUGCGAUAGAGAACGGUUGGAUCUGAGGCACGGGACAGCGGGGAGGCACCGGGGCUAUGGUCUGCUAGGCGUUGUGGUUCUAGUGUUCGCUCAGCCGCAGCUGGAGAGUUUGGUAUGAAACUAUGAAUCCCUUCCUUUUCUGUCAUCAUUCUGUCAAUUCUCCUCUUGCAUGGAAGUACAUAUAUGUAUGUAAUAAGUUCAUUUAUUUUGUUUCACACUAAAAUUUAAUUAGAAGUAAGGUGAUAAUUUUGAAGGUUUUUUUCAUAAGCAUCUGUUUUAAAAUGAAGCAUUAAGUAUCUUCUUGUAAAUUUAAUCUGCCAAAUAUCCUUGUACAUAAUUGUUUUGAAGGAUUUCAUUAACAUGUUGUUCUGUACUGCGUAUGACAUUGAAGAUUUUCUCAUGUUUUCUUAAACUGGAAAGGUCAUAUGAGAAUAGAAGUUUUGUUACCAAAAAUAAUAAAGUGACAAAAGUACAUGUAUGAAUGUAUUUCAGAAAACAUUGCAAUAUGACCUACUUUUGCUAGUCUUGUAUACAUGUCAUUUCGAGCUAUUUAAGAUGUCAAGCAACCUGGAGUGAACAUUAGUUUGAUUGAUGCUUGUACUGAUUUGGAAGUAAUGUAAUUAGUUAGUGGAUUUGCUUUGCUGCUAAUUCUAAAUGCAGGAACGUUGUUUAUAGUCAAAAUGGCAACACCAGGCAAAUCAAUCCAUCCGUAUGUGGAAUAUCAGAGAGCCUACUGGUCAGCUUAUAUGGUGUUUUGCUAUUUAAGCUUAUGAAGCAAGGUAUGUUCCUCUCUAUUGUGUUUUCAUCAUACAAAUUAGGAAAAACAUAGUUUCUUCACAUUGUGAAGUGAAGUGUAAUAUGUAGAACUCUGGUCUAUUAAGUAUAUCUGAGCUGAAUAUCCAGCCUUUUGACGAAUGUGGUGGUAGUGGUGAUCUAAUAUAUGUUCCGGUAAUUUUUACUACUUAGCAAAAGUAGUCAUAAAAUAUAACAAUGUGACGAAAGUAUAAUAUAUGGAGUAAAUAAGAAUUAUUUUUAUUUUACAUUAGUGAUUAAACGUGAGUCACUAUUCAUGAGUCGAAUUAUCAAUGUUUCAUACCUGUCAAGAAGUUCCUGUGUUUCACGUAUAUCUAGAUCUGUAUAUAUAUUCUUGUGGCACUUUCUGACUUUAGGAACAAACCUAUCUAAUCAACAAUGGAUGUCUCUGGUUAUCUAUUUUCUUUGUAAAUAAUAGAAGUGCUUGUAAGAUUAUUGGACUUACCAUUGAAUUUAUGCACAUUUGUUAUGGUCACAAUAAGGAUAGUUUGGUUGCCAAUCACAUCCAUGGUUGAAGGAUAAGUAAACUUUUCACAUAAUAUGACUUUGAUUUUAUCAUCCUUGAGGUGUUUUAUUUGAAUAAAUAGUGCUAACUACAUGGAGGAGGUUAGAUGAAAAUUUAAGGCACGCAUAUGCAUUAUGCACUUACUCUGGUAUUAGAAUUUCAAAUUCAUGGAUAUAUGAAGACUGUAUGUUAUUUCUUCUUAUUCUCGUUUCCAACCGCUUCAUUUGUGCCCAUAAUCCAAUUGUAUCUGUAAAUAUGGAUAUUAAUUAUAUAACAAUUAGAAAUAUUAGUUAGUUGAAAAUAUUAAUUGCAACAAUAACAUACCUCAGCAUUGUAUUUUUUCCCGUUUUUGUAUUUUGCCCUUGGUAGCAUACCCGAAGUAAUAAUCUGGAAAGCCUUUUAGAGAUCCUUUAACCUCCUUUUCCAUUGUACUAUAUAUAUAGAGAGGUGUUGCUAAAAGGAGGGCACGAUAGGGCCGGUCGGGGGCCUUUCUGCCCACGGCCUGGCAAGAGGGAAGGGAUUUCCUUCUUAAUUCUUGCUUUAUUAAAUUGAUACAUCUCCUCUCUUUAUAUAGAGAGGUUUACUUGACUCUCAAACAAGGCUUACUUGACCCCUAAGCAAGCGACCCUUAUCUCUAAUUAACCCUAAGACUAAUGGGCCCAUUACGUACUCUAACACUACACCCCACCUGGACAUGCAGCUUGUCCUCGAGCUGCAGCCUAACCAACUUAUAACCAUGACUCGACGCAACACAAACCUAACACCUAAAAACAAGACUUUUACAUCUUGGCUUGUUUUAUUAUUCUCAACCUGAAAUAGACUAGGACGCUUUAUUUUGGACGUGCACGUGUACAGCCACAUGGAUCCCAUGGACACCACCUGGACAAAAGGAGUGCAUGUGUAUGGCUGUUUGUCUGCACUGCACAGGGAAGAGUGCAGGGCUUGCGAUGGAGAAUGAUGAGGAGGGGUGCGCCCCCCCAACCGUCGAUGUCGCAGACUUUGAGGUCGCUGCCCGCGGGGAAAACAACAUGCCGGCCGCCCGUGGGGAAAACCACAUGCCCAAGAUCCCCGACGCAGCGGACGAGAUCGAGGUCCUUUGCGCAGCGAAGGGCAACUUGGAGGAGCGGCAGCUGCAGACCACGCAUCUCCCGCACACGCCGACGCGCUAGGAGGCCGCGCGCAGCAGCCUGCAGCCUCACCGCCGCUGACACGUGGUGGGUAGCGAUCCAAGACGGAAGCGGUGACGGCGACGGCAGGGACUUGAUCUGCUGGAUGUGGACGCCCUGGGAUGGCGGCGGCGCUGAUGGGAACGAGGUCGUCGCACUCCCGUCGUAGGGCAUCCCAUACUGGGCGGCGGAGCUGACCGGCGGUGGCUGCUGCAGCUGCAGCGGCUGCUGCGCUGUCGCGCCGGGCGCGGCGGAGGCCGCCAGGAGCGGCGGCUGCCACUGCAGCCAGGGCUGGGCGGUGGUGGCGAUGGAUGGUAGUUGCAGCGGCCCGGCGAGUGCGGCGAAGGCUGCCUGAUGCGGCGGCUACCACGGCAGCCACGGCGGCGCGGGGGCGGCGAUGGGCGGCGCAACCGAGUGCGGCCCGUAGGACCCGGCCAAGAACAGGUGGAUCUCCUGGACCGCCUGGAUUAGGUCCCGCAGCACCCCGGACACGUCCUCCCAGGUGAGGACGGUGGGGGCGGGCGCGACAGAGGAUCCCGGCGCGGGCAGGAGCGGGGUGACGGUCGUGGUGGUCACCGGAGGCGACAAGGUGACCGGCAGCGGAAGAGACGGGCUUGGCGGUGGUGAAGACAUGAUCGAGCCGAAGCUAGCUGAUAUCAAAUUGUUAUGGUGUUGCUAAAAGGAGGGCACGAUAGGGCUGGUCGGGGGCCUUUCUGCCCACGGCCUGGCAAGAGGGAAGGGAUUUCAUUCUUAAUUCUUGCUUUAUUAAAUUGAUGCAUCUCCUCUCUUUAUAUAGAGAGGUUUACUUGACUCCCAAGCAAGGCUUACUUGACCCCUAAGCAAGCGACCUUUAUCUCUAAUUAACACUAAGACUAAUGGGCCCAUUACGUACUCUAACAAUAUAUAUAUAUAUAUAUAUAUAGACACACACACAAAUAAUAAUAAUAAUAAUAGCGUCAUUGACCAUUGGAUGUUAUUUUGUAGAUUUCACAACUUUAAUUGUUACAUGCAUAAAUAGAUUGCUCAUUGAUCCUCCGAAAGUGUCUACUCCAGAUAGUAGAAUGAAUUUUUUAUGCUAUGUUAACAAUGGAGUAUACUUGGUAAUUGUUUUUAAAAAGAUAGAACAAUUUGUAGUUAUUACAUAUGUAGAGAAUAGAUCUUCAUCCAUCAAAAUCAUACCUAAGCUUGUGUUGAUAAAUUAAGUGUAAGCCAUUCUUGUGCCUUGAAAGGGAAUAAAAUAUAGUUGUAAAUUGAUCAAUUACCUAAGACGUUUAGGUAUGAAAUAAUUGCCAAACUUGAUGAUACAGGUGGAAAGUGGCGGGACUUCGUUGAUGUCAAGUUGGGUGUCACCUGAAGCGCUUGCGGGUGGCUUGGCCACGUGUUGACUUGCACGCCGCACUGUCCUCAUACCGGCUGUCUUUGAUUCUCUUGGAUAGCGUGUUGGAGUCACAGUUUUAGCAACCAUUAAAUUGAGAUAGGAAGAAGAUGAACAAAGCUUAGAACUGUGAGUCAAAGAUGAGUCAGAGCUUGAGCAGCACGGACAUGCCACCUCGUACUCGUCAGCUAUGGUGACAUGUUCGUGGAUGUGUCUCAGACCGAAGUCAUUGCCGCUGGUCCGUGGUUCCAUGCAUCCUUGUUUGGAUUGGAGGCAACAGAGCGUGGGUUGGAGUCAACGGCCCUUGGAGAUGUGCAAUAGCAAGGCAAAGAAGCGGACGAAGGACAAAGCAGCGGUCUCUGCGUCCUAGUGGCUGCAUCCUGCUCGUCAAUAUCUCACCGUAGUCACUGCCGCCAUGUCAUCCCAUGUAGAUUUGGACCUGACCUCCUCUCAUUCUCCUAGGACGCUUGAGCGCUUCAGCCGGCGCUUCACUGAUGACGACGAAGGCAGGAUCAGAAGGGGCACGUUGCAGCCCCAAAGAAUUGGAAACCCUAGCAGCCGAGUUUCUCCUUAACGUGUGUGGUAAGGAACGUGAAGCCUGCUUAAGAUUUGAAGAGGAGCACGUGAGCGAAGAGGUCAACUUUUUGAUAUUUUAUUAUCCAAUGGCUUUAGAUGAAAAAUUGAGCUAUGUUAACAAUGGAGUAUACUUGGUAAUUGUUUUUAAAAAGAUAGAACAAUUUCUAGUUAUUACAUAUGUAGAGAAUAGAUCUUCAUCCAUCAAAAUCAUACCUAAGCUUGUGUUGAUAAAUUAAGUGUAAGCCAUUCUUGUGCCUUGAAAGGGAAUAAAAUAUAGUUGUAAAUUGAUCAAUUACCUAAGACGUUUAGGUAUGAAAUAAUUGCCAAACUUGAUGAUACAGGUGGAAAGUGGCGGGACUUCGUUGAUGUCAAGUUGGGUGUCACCUGAAGCGCUUGCGGGUGGCUUGGCCACGUGUUGACUUGCACGCCGCACUGUCCUCAUACCGGUUGUCUUAGAUUCUCUUGGAUAGCGUGUUGGAGUCACAGUUUUAGCAACCAUUAAAUUGAGAUAGGAAGAAGAUGAACAAACCUUGGAACUGUGAGUCAAAGAUGAGUCAGAGCUUGAGCAUCACGGACAUGCCACCUCGUACUCGUCGGCUAUGGUGGCAUGUUGGUGGAUGUGUCUCGGACCGAAGUCAUUGCCGCUGGUCCCUGGUUCCAUGCAUCCUUGUUUGGAUUGGAGGCAACAUAGCGUGGGUUGGAGUCAACGGCCCUUGGAGAUGUGCAAUAGCAAGGCAAAGAGGCGGAUGAAGGACAAAGCAGCGGUCUCUGCGUCCUAGCGGCUGCAUCCUACUCGUCAAUAUCUCACCGUAGUCACUGCCGCCAUGUCAUCCCCGGUAGAUUUGGACCUGACCUCCUCUCAUUCUCCUAGGGCGCUUGAGCGCUUCAGCCGGCGCUUCACUGAUGACGACGAAGGCAGGAUCAGAAGGGGCACGUUGCAACCCCAAAGAAUUGGAAACCCUAGCAGUAGAGUUUCUCCUUAACGUGUGUGGUAAGGAACGUGAAGCCUGCUUAAGAUUCGAAGAGGAGCACGUGAGCGAAGAGGACAACUUUUUGAUAUUUUAUUAUCCAAUGGCUUUAGAUGAAAAAUUGAUCCGCUAGCAGGCUAAUCAAGUUGUGAACUAAUUGUGAGUUCAAGAAAAAGUUGUGAACUAAUUGUUUGACAAUUUGCGGCAACGUCUUAUAUGUAUAAAAAAAGAUGGAGAUACAUGUGAGAUUUUUGUCGCGGGGUUCAUAUGUGAGUUAUCGACCAUAUCUUUGAAUAUAGGGAAGACGUGAUUGCAUCCAGC
rnacentral:lncRNA from 1 species